UGAAUGAACUGUUAGAUUUUAUGAGAUGAAGGGGGGAUGAUAAUUGGCCAAACAUAUCGGACAAAUGAAAUCAGCAACAUAUAUUGAUCAUCCUGUAUCAGUCGACCUCUAGGUGUGAGUUCAAAUGAUAUGCUCAGUUGUAUGUUUGAGUUUAUUGUAGUCUUUUUGAUCAUCUGAAGCAGAAGGCGAAAGUGAUUCACGGUCUCUUGGAGCUUUUGAAUGUCCUCCAGUAGCUUCUGGUAUCUCAUCAGAUGAUCUCUCUUAUGCUCUGCUCUAUCCUUCUUCUCCUCACAGUGAUUAAGAGAAUCCUGGAGUUCUCUGAUGGUCAGAAGCGAUUUCUCCUGUUCCUCGUGGAGUUUCAGGGAAGACUGGAGCUCGGUGAUGUUCUGGAGGUGUGUGUCGUUUCUAUGAUUUAUGUUCUGUUCACGCUGCUUUUGCUCCAUAGCUAAAGUAGCCUCCAGAGUUUGCACCUUCUGUACCAGAAUGGCUUUCUCUUCUGUUAUCUUCUCUAUUAUCAUAUUAAGAAAUGCAUCCCAAUCUGUAACUCCUUUCUGCAUGUGUUCCAGCUUCUCCUCCUCUUCCUUAAUCUGUUUAUAUGUCUUCUGUCUCCUGCAUUUUUCUCUAAAUCUUCUAAAGAGCUCCAUUUUAGUGUCUCUUUCCUUACAAUGAGUAAAUUCACGAAUGAAAAACAAAAGCAUGAUCUGGCUUAUAAACGCGUGUCAUACUGUGACCUCACACCCCGACGCCCACACGCUUGGUCGAGCUGAAACGGCGAACCGACUCUCCUGAACCUCAUUGUUUUGAAUAGAAGUGACCGAACCGAACUCUCUUGAACCGAGUUACUUGAACUGAAUCUAAGGAGUCGAAUUUACCGAAAUGAAUCUUUUUGUACUGCCGGGAAAGACCCUCUGCCGGGAUAAAACAAACUGUAGACACCUGGAAUGACACAGGAAGACGGAGACAGGACACGGUAUCAGUCUCCUCCAAGCAGCUCGUCCCCUGUAAGGACUCGGUCUCCUCCAAGCAGCUCGUCCCCUGUGAGGACUCGUCUCCUCCAAGCAGCUCGUCCUCUG